rnacentral:rRNA from 1 species
CUGGACGGCUUCCCACUUGACCACGAGUUUCCGGACUACUACGGGCAAGAGGAAGAGGGCGAGUGUGACAUCGAAGUGGAGCCUUUGUUCGAGGACGAGCUAGCCAACCAAGCCGUCGGGCCGAAGCCGAAGCGCAAGAGCAAGCGGACGAAGGCAUACAUGGCGGCCGAGGACAAGCUUCUUUGCGAGUGUUGGCGAGACAUUGGACAAGACCCCAAGACCAGCGCCGAACAAAAGCAUUCAACUUUUUGGAUUCGUGUCCAUCGGGAGUUUCAUGAGCGCAAUAAGUUCCCGCCUUACCAAAUUGUGAGCACGCGCGGGUGGGUAUCCAUUUCAAAGCGA